rnacentral:rRNA from 1 species
AACGUAGGACGCGAGCGUUAUCCGGAUUUACUGGGCGUAAAGCGCGUGCAGGCGGUCUGUUAAGUCGUGCGUGAAAGCUCCCUGGCUCAACCGGGAGAGGUCGUACGAGACUGGCAGGCUUGAGGGCAGCAGAGGAGUGUGGAAUUCCGGGUGUAGUGGUGAAAUGCGUAGAUAUCCGGAGGAACACCAGUGGCGAAGGCGACACUCUGGGCUGUACCUGACGCUAAGACGCGAAAGCAUGGGUAGCGAACGGG